rnacentral:lncRNA from 1 species
CUCUCUCCCUGCAAAACCAAAUCAUCUGGUUUUGUCAUAAAAUAACAGAGUUCAGACUUCAGAGUCGAAUUCAUCAAACGUAACUAGAUUACUAGAAGCUUUCUUUUUUGUACGUGCUGCAAAAUGAACAAUUUCUGAAACCAUCUUAUUAUAGCUUGUCCUCAAAAUUGGAGAAGGGGGCGUUUGUUUCCUUCAAACCCUAUUCAGAAGUACACGUCGUCAAAUUGCUACAGGACACAAAGGAGUUGACCAAGGGUAACGCCAAUCAGAGAGAAGCGAGAAUCAAUCAGGAGGGGAUAAAAGGCGAUGCCAAUCGGAGCUCGUCGUUUUCCAAGAGUCCCACAAAGGAACGACCAACCAUCAGUUUCCACUCUCUCCGAGUCGGCUCAACGUGGCAACUGCAAAUUUGAUUUUGUUUUUCCUUUGUUCUUCCGGUUGCAGAUUUCAUUAGAUAAUUAAGAACCCUAAUUGAAGAGGGUGACUUGCAAUGACCUAGUUAAUCGGUGAAUUUGUCUCCAGAUUUUGGAGUUUCAAUUUUUUGUUUGAUCUUUGUGUUUUCCAAUUCUAUUCUUAGUCAUCGAUUUUUAUCGAAUCCGACCAAAUUAAUUUGGUAAAUAUAUACAUACUUAAAUCAUUGGAUAGCGUUAGGUUUAUGAACGAAAAUUCCAAUCAUAAAAAUUACGG